AUUGAACGCUGGCGGCAGGCUUAACACAUGCAAGUCGAGCGAGCGGCGGACGGGUGAGUAAUGUAUGGGGACUGCCCGAAAGAGGGGGAUAACUACUGGAAACGGUGGCUAAUACCGCAUACUAUCGGAUAACCCAUAUGGGAUUAGCUAGUAGGUAAGGUAAUGGCUUACCUAGGCGACGAUCCCUAGCUGGUCUGAGAGGAUGAUCAGCCCCACUGGGACUGAGACACGGCCCAGACUCCUACGGAGGCAGCAGUGGGGAAUUUUGCACAAUGGGCACAAGCCUGAUGCAGCCAUGCCGCGUGUAUGAAGAAGGCCCUAGGGUUGUAAAGUACUUUCGGUCGGGAGGCGUUACCGACAGAAGAAGCACCGGCUAACUCCGUGCCAGCAGCCGCGGUAAUAC
rnacentral:rRNA from 1 species